CCUACGGGAGGCAGCAGUAGGGAAUUUUCGUCAAUGGGCGCAAGCCUGAACGAGCGAUGCCGCGUGAGUGAAGAAGGCCUUCGGGUCGUAAAGCUCUGUUGCGGGGGAAAAAAGGCAGCAUCAGGAAAUGGGUGCUGACUGAUGGUGCCCCGCCAGAAAGUCACGGCGAACUACGUGCCAGCAGCCGCGGUAAUACGUAGGGGGCGAGCGUUUUCCGGAAUGGUUGGGCGUAAAGGGUGCGCAGGCGGUCCUGCAAGUCUGGAGUGAAACGGCUGGGAUCAACUCAUGCAUGGCUUUGGAAACUGGAGGACUGGAGAGCAGGAGAGGGCGGUGGAACUCCAGGUGUAGCGGUAAAAUGCGUAGAUAUAUGGAAGAACACCAGUGGCGAAGGCGGCCGCCUGGCCUGUUGCUGACGCUGAGGCACGAAAGCGUGGGGAGCAAAUAGGAUUAGAUACCCGAGUAGUC
rnacentral:rRNA from 1 species